GACGAACGCUGGCGGCGUGCUUAACACAUGCAAGUCGAACGAGACGAUUGAAAGCUUGCUUUUAAAAGUCGAGUGGCAAACGGGUGAGUAACGCGUAGACAACCUGCCUUUGAGAUGGGGCCAACAGUUCGAAAGGACUGCUAAUACCGAAUGUUGUAUAUUUUCCACAUGGAAGAUAUAUUAAAGAUGGCCUCUAUUUAUAAGCUAUCGCUCAAAGAUGGGUCUGGGUCUGAUUAGCUGGUUGGUGGGGUAACGGCCUACCAAGGCGACGAUCAGUAGCCGGUCUGAGAGGAUGAACGGCCACAUUGGGACUGAGACACGGCCCAGACUCCUACGGGAGGCAGCAGUGGGGAAUCUUCCACAAUGGACGAAAGUCUGAUGGAGCAACGCCGCGUGAGUGAAGAAGGGUUUCGGCUCGUAAAGCUCUGUUGUCGGGGACGAAUGUGCAGUAUUUGAAUAAAGUACUGCGAUGACGGUACCUGACGAGGAAGCCACGGCUAACUACGUGCCAGCCGCCGCCGUAA
rnacentral:rRNA from 1 species